rnacentral:lncRNA from 1 species
AGAGUGGGGAAUAGGGUUUUCGGAAGAGGACAAAGGGUAAACAGUGCCCUAGAAGCUCACGGGUCCCCCUUUUAACAGUGGGGUCCCGACGUUGGGUCGACUCAAGAAUUUUCUUGGGUCAACUCAAUGUUGGGUCGACCCUAUUCUGGGUUGGGUCGACUCAAGUUCAGAAAUUUUUCCUUUCUCUUCCUUUUCGCUUCUAAAAAUUUUCCUUGCUUCCAAUCCUUACAAAUUCUUUCUGGGACAAUGAUACAUGAGUAAGGAAUCUAUAGAUUACAAGUUU